rnacentral:rRNA from 1 species
CAUAGGUUUGGUCCCAGCCUUCCUGUUAACUCUUAAUAAACUUACACAUGCAAGCAUCUACACCCCAGUGAGAAUGCCCUCUAGGUUAUUAAAACUAAGAGGAGCUGGCAUCAAGCACACACCCUGUAGCUCACGACGCCUUGCUUAACCACACCCCCACGGGAAACAGCAGUGACAAAAAUUAAGCCAUAAACGAAAGUUUGACUAAGUUAUAUUAAUUAGGGUUGGUAAAUCUCGUGCCAGCCACCGCGGUCAUACGAUUAACCCAAGCUAACAGGAGUACGGCGUAAAACGUGUUAAAGCACCAUACCAAAUAGGGUUAAAUUCUAACUAAGCUGUAAAAAGCCAUGAUUAAAAUAAAAAUAAAUGACGAAAGUGACCCUACAAUAGCCGACGCACUAUAGCUAAGACCCAAACUGGGAUUAGAUACCCCACUAUGCUUAGCCCUAAACACAGAUAAUUACAUAAACAAAAUUAUUCGCCAGAGUACUACUAGCAACAGCUUAAAACUCAAAGGACUUGGCGGUGCUUUAUAUCCUUCUAGAGGAGCCUGUUCUAUAAAAUC